UUGCAUACUGGAGAACUUCAUUACCAUAAUAAAAUGUGAUGUUCUUGGCUGUGAAUUCCUGCUACAAUGUGAACUAGGAUCCCAAGGAAAGAAAAAAGACUUAAUUCAGUAAGACUGUUCUGCGUGGCUGGGGCUCUGCGUGGAUGCCUGCACCGCUGCCCUUUCUGUAAAGGACCAGAAACACGGCAGGGCUGGCUGUGCAGUAGCUGGAGAGACCAGAGAAGGGAGUAGUCAGGAAGCUGGCUGCCAGCACAGCAGGCAAAGCUCACAGCGGCAGCAGUAGCAGCGACUAACGGCAAAACCAGUGGCUGAGCUCAGGGCGGCAGAACACAUGCGGGGAUUAGGACUAGAGCAGGUGACCUGAGCGACCUGGGCACCCUGCUCCUGUGGAGUGUGGGGGCACGGUGGAAACAGGAAGCCACCACAGCCGUCACCCCCAGUUCCUGGAGGACAGCGUGAUGCUGCAAACAUAGUCUGUGAUAGCAGUGGAUUACUUAGGUUUUCCAAAAUGACGUACGAUUAAUUGGGAGGUAGAAAGAACAGGGAAGUGUAAAGAUUUAUUUAUUUAUGCCCUUCAGUUUGAUUCAUUGUUCCUGUGGAGGGAAGUACUGCUCAAUAAGAGAGCAUAAUUUAGAUUGCCAGAUUUCUGGGUGGAGGCUCAGACUGGUGCAGUAUGUUUGACUCUGCAGGAUGGGUUGUUUUUCUUUGGUAAGGAGAGCUAAAAUUGAUUCUGACCUAUACUGCUUCGUGCCAGAGAGGUUUCUCUUACACUGAAUUUCCUGCUGGGGUAGACGUCAGUCUACCUGAAUGAUCUCAGCAGAUACAGACCUCUAAAGAACCAAUGCAUACAAGCAGGUAUCAAAUCAACAAGCAUAGCUAUCAUCUCGUACAUAGAUGGAUGUGAUGAAGUGUAAUUUAUCACCUGGAUAGCUCAGCCAGGAAAGGAUGCUAUUGCAAUUACACUGUCAAAUCACACUGCUGCCAGCAGAGUGCCUAUAUGAAUAAAAAAUACAAAGUGGGAACAGCACAGGUUUUGACUUUCUAGCUUUAUGCAUAAUGGAGGCUUUUGUCAGCAAAAUGUAUAUAUGUAAUCCACUGAUGGUAGGAUUGCAGAUCUGGCUAAAGAUUGCUUAAAUAGACUCUUAAGUUAGCUAGGUGACUAAAAGGAUGCAACUGAGUUGGCACAAUGCAACAUUGUCGACUACUUCAUAAUAACAAGCUUACUUGUAAAUAUUAUAUACCAUAAAAUUAUUCAAGUAUAUGCUUAGA